CGUUAUUCGGAAUUAUUGGGCGUAAAGCGUCCGCAGGCGGUUGUUUAAGUCAGAUGUGAAAUCCCCGGGCUCAACCUGGGAACUGCAUUUGAAACUGUUUGACUUGAGUGUGGUAGAGGGGGGUGGAAUUCCCGGUGUAGCGGUGAAAUGCGUAGAUAUCUGGAGGAACACCGGUGGCGAAGGCGGCCCCCUGGGCCAAUACUGACGCUCAUGCACGAAAGCCUGGGGAGCAAACAGGAUUAGAUACCCUGGUAGUCCACGCCGUAAACGAUGUACACUAGGUGUUGGUGGAAUUGACCCCCUGGGUGUCGUAGCUAACGCGAGAAGUGUCCGCCUGGGAGUACGACCGAAAU
rnacentral:rRNA from 1 species